rnacentral:piRNA from 1 species
UGGGAUGAGUCUCCCGGUUGGGAUGUCAGUG